ACUUUCAAGGUUUGUUUAUGGAUUAGAUAUUCACAAAACUCUUCGUCAAUGCGCUAUAACGUUAGCGUUGUGUUAUUGACUAGAGUUCUGUGUGAUUGAAUAUUAGAUAAAUCGCGUCUGACGUGUCAUAACAGCUUGUAGUGUAAUGACUAUCUUAGUAGUAGUCAAACAAAGGAAUCAGCUGAUCGUAUAUUUUGUAUCAACAGUAACAAAUAAAUGAUUGCCGAUCUGAUUGCACGUUAGACGAUCGUAGAAACCUGUGAUUUUCGGUAACGGCGUGUUUACUUAAUACAUGUUAUGAAAAAUACCACAAGGUCUCCUCCUCAAAAAUGGCAGACAAAGAUGCAACAGUACUGCAAAGAAUAAUAACAUUUAAAGUCGAAAAUAAUUCCAACGUGUUACUUUAAGCAAGCUUAGACUUUCCUAUACACACCUGUUUUAUUGUUUAAAUAAUAUUCUUACAUUUAACUUCAUAGUGGAACUACCUACUAAUAUCAAUUAUUGUUAUAUAUAUAUUCUGCUCUCUAAACACCAUUAAUGUUUAGAUGUUUUGUACUUAUUUCUAUCUUCAUUAGCCUAUCAUGCUUUGAUGUUUGAAAAUAUUUUCACAAAUGAUAUGAAUGUUCAUAAUGUAUAUUACAUGUAAUCUAGACAUUCAAAUAACCAAUUCUUGAAUCUUCAUAUUUAAUUUUAAAAUCUGCAAUUAAUAGUUGUUAAUAAAUUUAUUUUAGCUGGGUGAUGAAAGAAAAUAACAAUUGGCAUGCUUAUAAAGGUAACAUCAACAAUGCCACUGGAGUUGUAAUGGCGUUUUACUUUAUUUCUUCAUUAACCAAAUGUACUUAGAGCUAUUUAGUAUUUAGUGAUGGUCUCUAAGGUACUACCAAAAUACAAUUGAAAUGAUUAGAAGAAGGUUUAGAAAUAAGACACUGACUACUAUGUAGAUAAAAAAUCUUUUGUGCCAUCACCCCAUUUAUAGAAUGGUGUUCAAUCUGUGUUAUAUUCACUUUAUACUCCCAUCAACUACCCGUGACAAGCCAUUGCUGACUAUUGGCCUUCUCUACAUAAUCACCAUUCUCGGUUGGUAGGCAGGUUAGAUGUUGAAGUUUAAAUGGUUCCGGUUUGUCACAGAGUGCUGCUACCUGAUCAAAUGUACUCACUCCAUUGGCUCCUAUGACUCCUGUGGGAAGAGUAGGGAUAGUAGAAUUUGUAUUCAGUAGUAUGUAAUUAGUGUCUAUAAUGACUGUUAAAUAUUUUGUGUGUUUGCCAGAGAUAAGUUAAAAUGUUUUUCUCUUUGUCUUCAAACAAAAUGUGUAAUUAAAGGCAUGACCGGAGAUGAAGGCAUGGUCCACUCAGACUGGUGCUGUUUCUUAACCUCUUGUAUAGAAAACACAUUGUGUCUCAUGUAGAUCUGCAUUCCGGCAUACAAAGGGUUAAAAAUACUACCACAGAUUGACCGGUUAUCAUACAUCAUUUUUAUAUUUAUCUGGAGUCUGGACUAUAAAAGAGUUGACUUCUGAUUUUAUUUCGGAAUUUCUUCUCUGAGUAGUCAGAUAGGAAAUCACUAUAAAACUGAAAUGAAUUAAAUCUGAUGUAUUCCAGGACAUGAACUGUGUGGAAGCCACAACAAAAUAAAUCAGGAGAUAUUAGAUGUACAGUUAGUACUUUAGUCUUUUAACUGUGCAAAUAACCCUUCUUUGUGUCAUGCAGUCAGAUAGACUGCACUGGUCAUAACGGGGCGAAUCCCAUUUGCUCAGAAUCUGCGAAAUGUUGACUAAAGACUUUAAUUGGUCCAAAGUUUUAACAAAAUUGCGGUGGUAAGUCCCCUCUUUGAGGAGUGGCUAGAGACCACGGCGUCCUACUGCCUGACGCAGGUGCUUAGCGGACAUAGGAGCUUCGGUAGUUUAAUGUUUCUGAUUGGGUGGUAGGAAACGUCCAGGUGUCGUUAUCACUGCGGGGACCGCCCGGAGGACACGGUGGAGCAUACGGUGGGAGUAUGCCCUGCAUGUGCUGAACCCCGCUGUGUCCUCGGGGAUGUAGUCGGCGACGGCAUCUCGUGUAAGGCCUUGGUUCAGGUCAUAGUGCGAAGCGAGGGGGUAUCUGACGCCGUCCACUCCUUCUGCGAAGCAGUCCUGCUAGCUAAGGAGGAGGGGAAGCGCGUGAGGAAACGAACUUUCUCACGCCCCAGCCGUCGCGAGAGACACUCAGGGCAUCGGGAUCGCGCGAUGAUCUCCGGCCACCGUAAGUGCGGGUCUGCGGACGGCGAGCAAGCCCCAAGAGUCAUCAGACCACCACAGAUGGGGCCCAGUAGGGCUGAUGCCUGAUCCGGAGCUGGGGACUACCUAGCGGCUUUACCGGGGCGCGGGCUCGAAGAGCAGGAGUAGGAACGGGGUGGUUUUUAGUCAAUAGGAGUCUGACACUCCCUCUCGCCUCGCACAGGGCGGGUGAAUUCAUUGAAUGAUUUUUCUUCGUGAUGUUUGAUUCAAAUUACGUAAGUCCUGUAUAAUCUACGCCUUUCUUGUUAAGGGGGGGCCCGGGACGGGAUAUCCUAUCACAUCUGUCUCUUGCCGAGAGGUGAGAGGGUGAGGCAGGAUGGAGUGUCAACUCUUGCUGACUAAAAACCACCCAAUUCCUAGUCUGCCGGGCCGGAGCAUCGGUAACCCACUAGGUUGCCGUAGCUCCGGGUCGGGUAUUAGGUCUAUUCGGUCUGUGGUGGUCUAAUGGGACACGUGAGACACGAACGAAAGCGACUCGCCUUUAUAAUAAACUACGCCUUGUGUGACUUUUAAACUCUCUAACACGUUACGUUUUGUAUUGCCUGAGAUUACGCUCCCAAUAUACAUGUAAAGCACAAAAUCCCUUCCAUCAACCUCUUUCUCUUGCUCUAUCCGGUGCGUACUUACACUUACACUGUAGACUGGAGGGUAGGAUUGAUAUUUGUCCCAAUCCUUAGCUUUCAAUAAUGACGCAUGUGUUGCGUACAAUCUUUAUAGAGUUCAAAGAGAGCAAGAGUAAGAAAAUAUAAAUGCAAGUUAUGAACUCCAACUCGCUCACCAAGCGAGGAGAUUAUAGCAAACACAAUUGUCUAGUGGAGCUCUAUAGUCCCAACAGUGGACUGUCAUGAACUGCUGGUGAAGAAAAUCACUUGAUUAAUGUUUUACCAAGUUUGAUUGCCUUUUGUUCUCUUUAACAUUCAGAACAUAGAUAAAUCUUGUUAUCAAUUGACUCAUAACAAUCGAGUAUAUAGUGAAAAAGAAUGACUUGGAAUGGUAUGUUGUGCUAAUUCAUAAUGCAGAUGUAAGAUAUUGUAAAGGGAAUGCAAGACCACAAGGAAGAUGUAACGACCGCCUUGUUUCGAUUCUUUUUAGUUACGGAUGUUAAGGAAUUACAGCGUACGGACUAGCGCUCAUUACGCGGUUACAGAUUUUGUAUGGAAUUAUUGUCCUGUAAGAAACAUUCUUAAACACAAUUAAAUAUUGAGCUGUGCAAGUGUGCAAUAAACCUACAAAAUUUUCUAGUUUUCCUUAAUUUUAGUGGUUUUGCGAUAUGUACGAUAUGCAAUUGCAGAGUAAAAUAAAGUUGUAACCGGAUUCAUAAGCUCGGGUCGGGAGCCCUGUAUCGACCGGGGGCUGACGCGCCGGUUGUUGACCGACAGCCGCGCUUGCAGUCUGCCCGGGUCCGGUUCGCGCCGGUGCACCCCGCCUAAUUCCGCGUCUAGACUUGGGGCAAGGACCCUAAGGGUGCACAGAACGCAAUUUAUCCCACCUUUUGUUGUCUGCUUCGGCUUCAGUAAUCCUACAACGUUGUCUACUAAUGAUUUUCUACCCACUUUACGUCGCUUACCCAUAUAAUUAUUUGUGUACAUAACUGAGCUUUGGCAACCUUAUUUUUGGCACUGUUUGUAUUUUUAGUUGUUGUAAAUAUUCGUUAUUGUCAGCGCAGUGCAACAUAACUAUACCAAACCGUUUUUUUGUAUUAUUAUUGAGUUGCAUGCAAGUUACAGCAAUUUCUCAUACUAUUGAGGCAACAACAAAUUCCCUACUAACUAAUUUUACAAAUGCGAAAUUUUGUGAGCAUGUUUGUGAAGGUAUAUGUUUGUUACUCAAUCACGUCAAAACGGCUAAAGGGACGGGGAUGAAAUUUAGGACAGGAGUAGAUUGUUUCACUUUUUAUCCCACGGGGACGAGGGCGAGGCUGCUAGCAGAAGCCAGUAAGGCACCGAGUUAAACAGUCAUCAGAAUGACAUGAUACAUUCAUUUCAAAGUUAUGAAUAAGUAUCUACUGCAGUACUGUUAGAGCUAGACGUUUCAGUAGCCUCUCUGAAUAAAUGUGAAGGGCACGUGAAGGUGUUUUGUCUGACAUUUGUAAGUCUGCGCAUGUUUAAAAGUUCUUUUCGGGAAUAUUGUGGAAAAUAUAAUGAGAGCAGAGGACAACCCGGUCAAUAGGCCACUGGGUAGGUUAGAUAAUUAGGUACGAGUGGGUGAAUCGAAUACAUUGUUUAAUUGUGUAAUUUAAUCGUAUUCAACAAAUUAAAUCUCGAGUAUAAUUAACUAUUAGAAGACCGGGAACCGUUUUUAUACCAAUAUCACCAAUGCGGCAAGCGGUAACGGUGUGAAAAGGAAAUUGAUAUUUCUGAAACUUUGAGUGUCGACAUGUAAAUCGUGACGUAAAUAAAAGGCCCCGAGUCAGUCCUGGGCGGAGUAGGUCGCUGCAGGUCCUUGGUCCCCGGGCACACAAUGUGCGAGGUGAACGACCCACGAAACCUGUUAACGGACUAGUUGCUCUAGGAUGAUCGCGUUCAUCUUGUUGCCACUGCUCCAGCUUUUUCAAGUGCUAUGGGUUGCUAUACUAAGGCAAAUGUCAAGUUCAGUACUUUACAUAUUUUAUACCACGAAAGAAAGAUUUACAUUUUCAGCAAAUGUAUUCGUGAAAAACGCGUUCUUAUAGACAUACGAAAAAAAUCUCUUUAUUGAUUAAAUUAUGAACUAUAAAAUAUGAAUAGAUCAAAAUGUUUUACAUUUUUAAAAGUCUUUUAUUAGGUCGAACGAUGUAAUUAAAUCUGAGAAUCUGAAUUACACACACUUCUAAUUGUAUCAUCAUGAAACUCGGCAACUAUAUGUAAAUUAGAUGACCGUACAAUACCAUGGUUCCAUUGAGCUGGUUUCAUGCAUGGUAUUGAGACGUGUCUGAUGAGUGGAAGACUGAUGAACCUUAGGCUACCUACUUGUAAACAUACCCAGUUUGGGUUCAUUAGAUACAUCAUUUUCUCCGAUGACGAAGACACGACUUUUUGAACUAUGAAUUUAUCUUAUCAUAAAUGUAAUUGUAUUUGGAAUAGUAAACUUAUUAGUUGAACCUAUCUACUCGGCAGUGAAUUUGGUUUUCAUCAGGAUGAGCAAUAAAUAAUACGUAAAUCGGUUGAAGUAUGUAAAAGUGCAACUCGCCGCAGUAACAGAUACAUUGAUACACUUCAUAUGCAGAGGGAAAUUGAUAAAAUCAAUAACAUUAGUCCGUAGGGCGUGCGCGGGGAUAAUACGCGUGUAGCAGUGAUUGCUAUGGAGUACGGAUGUACUGUGCCGGGGCAGCCGGGGUCGGGGACGCUGCCAAUGGGGUUCUCACAGCUUUGAGUUAUCUGUACCUAUGUCUAGUUUCGUGCACUCUGCUUCCAAUUUGAGAUUUAACAAGGGAUCGCUACUGAAUGUUAGACGUUGGACAUAAUAUUUUAACAUGAUAACAAGUGUUAUUUAACCUAUGUUUUACGAAUGAUGUGAGUUAUUGAAUUAUGAUAAGUAAAUACACUUGUAAGCCACCUUCACGGCACCGUUGAUGAUGCAGUUGGUUGGCGUGCAGUGAUAGCUGAUAGCGUAUUAUGUCGCUAUUAUUGUGUACCAGUUUACGAAGUAGGCAACCUUUUACUUGCAAUACAUUGUCAGUCCGGAAACAUAUGUUACUUUUACAUGGUUUUACUGAAUUGGGCUCAUUUUGACGUAGACUUGUUGAACAGUUUUAUGAACUCUAACAGAAGCGGUAUGACGAAGUAAUGUAUACCGUUUAGAUAACUUAUUUACCGCAAGAAAAUAUUAAAGUCUUGUGAUAGACAAGGAGCCAAUCAAAGUCAUCGUUUACUUUUAUCAUUGUUUUUAAUGACACCGGUUCUCUUCAUGAAUAAACUCAUUAAUUUGUCAUUUAAAAUGAUAAGUGAAUUUGCAUACCAAUUAUUCUCAAAGUAUUGUCUAUCGUUCAACGUUUUACUACUGGGAAGUAUACUGGUCAUGUAAAUGAGGUAUGAUAUGAUGUCAACGUAAAAUAAAUGAUUCAACGUCAUAUAUUUCUAUUAGACCGAUAUAAGGCACUCUGGAACGUCAAACGAUCUUUAACCAAAUGUUUUAUUAAGUGGGCAUUACAAGAUUGACGUUGGUUUCAUUAUACACUGUCUGCUGUCUACAUUGAGCUAUUAAUGUCAUGUCGUAUAGUUAUGGUAGACAAUGGAAUCACAUAGAGUAUUUUGUUUUUGGGUGAAUGCCACAAUAGGCGCAUUACACUAGUAAACUAAAUGUUUUAGUUCUCAAAGAAUCUGCAAACAAUCAUAUUUGAUCCCGAGUUUUGCAUUUUUUGCAAAAGUACUUAUAACAAAGGCUACGGUUAACAACAGCAUUUAAUGCUGUGAUAUUGUUUGUAUUUUACUUCGGGUACUUCAGCAAUUUUGGUUGGUCGAGCAGGUAGUAACUUAGUAUCCCAUUUGUCUCGUUAAGCGGAUUGCGUUCUACAUUUUAGAACGUUACCUGUUUUGUAAGUGCUUAGUUAAGUCAGCUAAGAUAAUGACAGUCACGUCAGAUCAAUGUGCAGCGUGUCUUUGUCACUGUCUCCGGGUGCAUUGUCUGCCGGUGUAUGAACCAUCGCUGGAACAUAAUUUAGCACCCCCCGUCCCUUACUGAUUGGCAAAAUAACGUUGCAGCGCAUUUGUUCAACGUCUGAGGCCGCAUGGGCCGAGCCCUGUUUAACUCUGUACAAAUGGGCAUUAUCGUUUACUUGUACAUUACAUAUCUUGCAUUUUGAAGCGUGUAACCGCAGCACUUAGCAACUCAAUAGAUGCGAACGAUAUCAGAAUGAUUCAGUUAUAGUCGACUUUUUGUGUAUUUGUAGAAGAGCGGAGAAGCAACAAUGCGUGUUACGGCACCAUGCCAAAUGUUCCAAGUUUAGCUCAAUAUAUACGAUUAAUUCUAUGCACGUUUUAUUGAAGUGUAUCAAAAUCAACUUCACAGAUUUUUGUAAACUCUCUUAACUACAUAGACCUUUCGUCUAUAACUAAAAAUAAGACGCAAUACGUCGAACCCUACCAAACAAAGGACUAGAAAGAAAGGGCCAUAUGAAGGUCCCAACAGCAGCGUGCUAAAGGGCCGCCCUUGCUUUCAAAACGGGACCGAAAUGGUGCAUCUACUAUCUGGGUCAAGCUCGCUUGCGUUGGGUCGCCCACCACGUGCUUCCCUCCCGCUACCUCUCCCCCUUGCGAUACUUCUCAUUCACAAAUAUACCCAAACAUGACGUGUUACCGUCUAGUUUUCCUUGUAUUUAUAUCUGGUAUCGGCCUUGUUGAAGCCCCGAUGUACGGAUCCAUUCUAUUUUGUACUAUUUGGAACUCUAACUCUUUGCGUUAGAGUUGCUAAUAUUUUGUUAUUGACUUUAAAUAAUUUUGUCAUUACAAAAGUGAAUAUUUCGUAAUCGCUGAACCUUAGAACUUUAUUAUGUCAGUUACCUACAUUUCCAUGAAUCAAUGUAAUGAACCUCUGUGCAUGCGUAGUGGCGAAGGGUUGUGUCUACAAAUAUAUUAUUGUUUAUGUCAGCGAGAAGCACGGCGCUCGUAUGAAUUAUAAUUGGAUGCAAGUCGACUGGACAUGAUUAUGCAACAGCAGUUAAUAGUGAAAGUUAGUCCGUUCGCGACAUAUGUAUUCUAUCCAGCAUUCCGCUACCGUCAUCCGGGCCCUAUUUUACAUUAUCAGAAAAGUUUGUUGAUUUGCACUGUGUAGUAUACUAACUAAUUCAGAAAGUUUAUCGCGUCUAUAUUAUCGGUGCCAAAUUAGUCAGGACACAAUGUAGGGCAUGUACACUACGCAGCAAUGGCAGGUCAAGUUUACUUAGCGUUGCAAUUGACAAGUCUGUUCCUUGCUUAAUCACAUGUAUUUAUUUAUGUAUUAUGUAUUGUACUAUAAAUUAACACCAUGGCAUGAUGCACCCAUCUAAAUCAUCAUCUAAUCUUUAAAAACAAAUGUACUUUACAAAUCAUUUGUUGAAGGUUUCAACGGUUACUGUUACGGUUUAUGAGAAACAGCCCGAUAUCGUAUUCCAACGCAGCAAACCAGGGAGCAUCACGAAUUGUGUCAGUUGGUUCAUUCUGUAUAUUUGGAAUAGAGCUCCCAGCCUGCGGAAGCCUUUUUAAACCUUCUUAAACCAAAUCUGGCCAUCUUCUUUGGUACAAAUAUUCAAGCUAAUCUAAAUCCCGUCGUUUAUUUGUUAAUAAGGUCGCUUUACUAAACCUGGAAAUUAAUAACUCUGAUAAAUUAAGAUCUCAAUUCAAAAUCUCUGGAUCGAUCAAAGUUUUUGAUAGAUUCUCCUUACGACUAUUGUCAAAAAUUUAUCUGACUCAAAGAUUUUGGAUGUAUUGAACAGUCGUCUAUUUCAGUAGCUGUAUCACUAGUAGUAACAAAGGUCGGAGGAGCGCUAGCUACAGUUGAAGGUUAUGGUAUUCAUUUUAUUACAGAACUUAAACUGGUUUUAAAUACUCGACACGUUGAUUAUAGCAGCGUCUCAUUUUUCAAAAACGCAUCUUGCGUACAAAGUAAGACGUGGGUCACAAGACUCACAACUGAGUCGCGUCGUAGAAAGUGAGUAACGACUAGCGGUAGUUGGCAGAAGUCGGUGUAAAUGAUAAUGUGCAGUUAUAAUGUAUAGUGUAAUCGCUGUAUACAGCAAUCCGACACUUCUCCUUGAGUUGGGUUGCGGAUUGCAGCACCGACAUUGACUACCCUAAGAUAUUAAUGCCAAGUGUAUCGCAACGUGUUGCUAUGCCAAUAAAUGUGCGUCAACUCCCACAAGGGAAGUUCAUUUCGAGGAACUCUUGUAGUAAUCCCAAAAUAAAGGAUAGCUUUGUUAACGAAAUGUUGUACAAAUUGUUUCUAUUUUAUAAUUUAGCAACACGCGGUAUUGUUAACAAUCAAUGGUAAACCCAAAAGAUCCAACGACUGUCCUGUGGACAAGUUAUCACUCGCAGACGCAUCGCUUUUAGUUUUCUAUUUUGUCAUAAUUCGGGAAAUAAACAAAAAAAUAUUGGCAUUGUUUUCAGGUUCGUUUUCGGUAAAGAAAAAGGAGCCAACAAUAAAGUCCGUAAUUGGAAACAAUAAGAGAUAACUUUAUUGUUCUUAUGCUCUAUAGUUCUAAACCUCAAAAGGAUACCUUUUUACCCGCCUGUAGAAAGGGAUUGUUUUUUUUACUUUAUUGCCAGUCCGUUCGACUCAAUACUAUUUAUCUUCGAAAUUUAAGGAAAGGUUUAAUAGUAAAUAGUAGCCUACGGUCCUUUAAAGUUGUAAUAAUGCGAUUGUUAACAUCACGUAGUAAUGUGCAGUUUGUUCCGUAUUUUACAAUAAUUUUAAAAACUGCAUGAUGAUUGCAUUUCAACAGAUUAUUCGAAAUUAAGAACCUAAAAAAAUGAACAGUCAUCGUCUGUGUCGUGAUCGGUUAGCUAGAGGCUGCCCCCGCACGGCAUGCGGCAUCUCUGCAGUGACAGUAAGCGAAAGUUGAGCUUGCGCACUAAAUCUAAAGCCACCAAUGUUAUCUUGCUUCACCAUCCCGACAUUAUAUCUUACUCUUACACAUUAUGUUUUGGUUUGAUUGCUGUGCUGCUAGGCCGCGCAGCAUAAGUUGCAACUACUGCUUAUCUAUCCUGCAGUUGUAAGAUCAUUGGGGGAAAUAGGUCACUAGGGCAUUAUGGUGCUGAGGAGGCUUGUUUGUGACGAAGCUUUGAAUAAUUUACACAGAAGUGUUUUGAGCUCAUUUCUUUUAAAAAUGUUGUAAGUGUUAAUAUUUGUAAAUGCAUGCGGCUUGUGUCAUCUGUGUCGUGUGUUGAGUUUCAUUGAUUGGUAUGCAAAAUUACUACCUGCUUACUCAAUGCCAUAGUUUGACGUGAUGUUGAUCCCUCCGAGAACAUUUUACUGCAUUAUAGAUUCUGGAUCGGUAAUUCGGUUUGAUGUAGUUGAAUGCAAUUAUAAAAUCUAUAAAGUCACAUAAUUUAGGGAAUAUUCGCAUUGUAAGUAUUGUUGAGGGUUUAUACAGUAGAUAAUUAGCCAGUCAUCGUUUUGGAUAUUAAUGAUGAUGUGUACGUCAGGUAGCGCGCGAGGGAUUUGUGUCGAAACACAGCGGAGUUAAUUUAAUUUGAAGUAAUCGGUCGGAGGCGGGCGUGCGAGGCCGCCGCCGCCGCCCGCAUGGCAACCGCUACAUGCGCUAAUUGUUUCCACGCGCACGCCAGCCGAUACCUUUGCCAUAGUCUAUGCACUUUUGCGUUGCAUUUUUUUUUCGUCUACAGUUAUUGACGUUUGUGGCUGCGAGCUCUGUCUCUGUCGCGCCCCUCGCCUCGAGUCACAGGGCGUACCUUUGUUCGUGUCUCGUCUGUUCGUGGAUUUUUAAUUCUGUCUAUCAUUUGUAUUUGAUUGUUCCAUGUUUUGAUAUUUAUUCUUUGUUCGUUCUUGCCAUCGCUAUCGUUCUGCACGUAGAAAAAAAAGAAUCGAUAUUAAGUCAUUAUUUAUAAACCGCAAUCGCUCAUCUUUGUUGUCACUAAAUACCUAGUCUUCUUAAAUAAGUAAGAUCUUAGUAAUCAGUCAACUUAUAAAAGUCCAGGUUACAACAGGAAUUGAUUAAUUUUAUGCAGGGGAGGGGGAGACCUUCACUACUUAUCGCAAACAAACAGGUUUAUGUUAAUUAUGAAAUAAAUGUAGCUGUAUAGAUUAUAAUUAAUAUUAUGCAAGUACGUCACUCGUAAGAGUUAAGACUAA